rnacentral:lncRNA from 1 species
CAAUCUCUGCCAAAUGUAAAACCUUUUUAUGCCGUUAAAUGCAAUACUGAGCCUGCAUUACUUCUAUCACUUGCAACACUCGGUGCAAACUUUGACUGUGCAAGUCAAGCUGAGAUUGAAACCAUACUUGGCCUCGGUGUUAAUCCUGACAGGAUUGUGUAUGCCAAUCCAUGCAAGUCUGUGUCCCAUAUAAAAUAUGCAGCUAGGGUUGGAGUCAACCUGACAACCUUUGAUUCCAAGCAAGAAGUUGAUAAGAUAAAAAAAUGGCAUCCAAAAUGUGAACUACUGCUUAGACUUAAAGUUCCAAGCGAAAAUUCAUCCUGGCGUCCAUUUGGUAACAAAUACGGUGCAUUAACUGAGGAGGUGGCUUCUCUACUCCAACAUGCAAACCAGGCUGGUCUUAAAGUUGUUGGAGUGUCAUUCCAUGUGGGUUCUAUAGCAUCAGACCCACAAGUGUAUCACAGCGCAAUUGCUACAGCAAGAUUUGCAUUUGAUACUGCCAUUAAGCUCGAAAUGCCUGCAAUGCAUAUUCUUAACAUUGGUGGCGGGUUUAGGGCGAACCCAUUAUUUGAUGAGAUUGGUAAAACUGUAAACGACUCAGUUCAAGAAUUUUUUCCAGAUGAACUGACAUCGCUGACAAUGAUAGCAGAGCCAGGCAGAUAUUUUGUAGAAACUGCAUUCAUUCUGGUGACUAAUGUUAUUGGGAAGCGAGUGAGAGGUGAGCAAAUUGAUUAUUGGAUUGACGAUGGGGUUCACGGAUCAUUUAACCUUGGAGCGUAUGACCGUGCUUCUUUGUCGUAUAAGGUUUUCCCUCAAAAUGAAGAUGACUUAGCAGGUCUAAUUACUUCCUCGACAAUUUUUGGACUGACCUGUGAUUCAUUAGACGUUGUGGUAAGUGGGUGCAAGCUACCAGAGCUACAAGUCAAUGAUUUGAUCGUGUUCUAUAACAUGGGUGCCUACACAACAGCUCCUGCAAGCAAGUUUAAUGGGUUUAACAGGUUUGAUUUGCCCACCUAUCUUGUAUUUACAAGUGCAGAUUGAAGCGUGGACAUAUCAGAUAAUUAACCUUUGUAUUUUAUCUUCCCUUUCUUCUCUUGUCUUUCCUAUCUUCCAAUCACUCCAGCAAGACAACAAUUUUACACUCAAUAAUAUUAUUAUUUUCUUACUAGAAUUGGACAUUAGCUAUUACAGAAACUAGAAUAUCAAUUUGAAAGUUAUCAUAGUACAUUAAAGUAAACUUUAACCUGCAUUAUAGUUAAUGGAUGUAAUUGUAAUGCCAACAUGCUAUUUAUUAAUGAAUCUAUUUUAUAUUGUAAUGCAUUAGAUGUCACAUUGUGGAAAAUAUGUUACAAUUUCCUGAAUUUCUUUUUCCAUAGUUUUUACACUCUGUAAUCAUAAAUAUCCUGAACUUCACUCAAUAAUUCACAUUGUAAAUUGUUGCCAAGGUUGUCUUUUUUUUUACUCUAAUCAUCUAGUAUCUGAAAUUAACUUGCUCGAUUAAUCUGAAUUCGCACCGGAUAGACCAAAAAGGGACUCUUAGUCGAGAAGUAAAAAGGUUAUCUUCUCGGUAAUGUGCACCACCCAGACAUAAUAAACAUGGCACCACCGACACAAUUCAACAUAUAUAAUUGCAAUCAGUUCAUUUUGUUUUGUAUACUGGUCUUUUUCAACAUGUGUUUCGCGUAUUUGUAGUUCUUGAUUUUACACGUAAUUUGUUUACUCUUUUUUUAUUAUAUAAUAAUAUUAUUUUUUUAAUUUAAUUUUAAAUAUCUUAAAAAAAAAAAGAGAAAAAAAUUCUUAAAACUUGAUUUUUCAACCUAUUGAAGUGUGCAAGUGCCUGUCAGAGUUUGAUCUACAUGUCGCUAUAUAGUGCAGAUAAGAACAAUAGAACAAAUGCAAGAACAAUAAAGUAAGGUCAAAUAUGUAAAAUUGUAUAAUAUAUGAGCUAAAAUAGGUAAUUUAAACCAAAAUCACUGUUAUAUUAACAGUGUUUUUGGUUUUAGUUUUAAUACAUAUAUAUAUGAGUUGCAUGUAUUUUAUCCUAAUGCAGUGAAGGACUUUUUUUUUUUUUUUUUUUUUUUUUUUUUUUUUUUUUUUUUUUUUUUUUUAGAUUUUUUUAUCUUCAAAAAGCCAUACAAAUAACAAAGAGAGGAUAUGACAUCUCUUAUAACUAAAAUAGCACAAACCAUAAGAUAUUUUAUUUGAAAAUUGAAAGAUGAAUUUGAAAAAAAUUGAUAGAACUUCAAAGUGAGUGGCUAUACAAAUUAUUUGAAUUUUUUGUACAUAAUCUCGUUACACGUAAACUAGUUGGUUAUGACAGAUAUAAAGAAUUUGAACAAUUAAAUCUAAUGAAAGAAUAGAUUGUACUAUCGGACUCUAAAAUAUAGAGAUCAUUUAUUUAAUAAAUUAUCCACAUAUUGCACGUCUGUCUAAAUAAAAACAAACUAAAUGAAAAAAAGAAUCGAAAUAAAUACUCUACAUAAAUAGAAAUAUCACAAACUCCAACAAGAUGGGGAGAAAACACUACAAAACAAUGAAAAUGUGAAAAACAAGAAAAAAAGAGAGAGGGGUUGUCGUAAGAGACAAGGACUGGCCCUUCCACCAUAACCACAUAGUUGAUUCUUGUGUUUUAAUGAAAAAAACAGGGAAAAAAAAUUAAUGAAGAACAAGAAAAGAGAGAGAGAGAGAGAGAGAAAACCUCCAAUUUUUUUUUUUUUUUUUUUUUUUUUUUUUUGGUUUUUUAGUAACCGUUCCAACCAAUAGAUGUUUGCUAGUUAAUGUAGUGGAGGACUUGAGUCACCCAACAUAGCUUGGCACUACAUUAUUACCUAAUUGGCCAAUUGGCUAAGAGAACAAGAUCCACCGCCCCUAAAGACAGAUUACUCAAAGGCCAUUAAGGGUUUAAGCAAAUUAAUUAUAUAAAUUAUCUCAAAUUAUUACAUUUGUCAAUAUACAAGACUUGAGGUGCACACCGCGAUAUAGCCUAAUGCUAAAAUGCAUAUACGACUUGACAAUAGAUUUAUGUUCAAAUCUCCUCCUUAAUUCAAAGGUUGUGCAUUUAAUAACCUUUUACGAGAUAUAAGAAACUGUGAGCAACACAACAAACGGUUCUUUAAUAUAAUGAUUAAAGCAACAACAUUUGAAUUGCAAGUUCAAUCAUUUAGAAUUCAUUUGAGAUAAAAAAUCGCAUUUUCAAAGAAUAGGCUAUUUAUUACUUUUCCAAAUUUUUUGAUAGUAAAUUCAUUUGAAUUAAUAAUUGAUUGACUUUAUAAUUUUACGUUUGUAUAUACAUGUUUUUCAUUAUAUGGUACUCGUUGUUCUCACUUGUAUUUUAAUUAUUGUAUAUCUAUAAACUUCUUGUUAAUUCAUUAUUUUCCUAAAUUAGUCUUGAAUUAUAUGGACCGGUUUGAGCUAAGCUAUAGCUACGAUUCCUAAAAUUACUAUUCGAGAUUGGAUUUGGUCGAAUAGUUAAUCAAAUGUGAAAUUAACAAUCAAAUUCAUACUUCUUAUAAUAUUUUCCUUAAUUUAGUAUAUAAUCUAUAAGAUUUAGCGAAAUUAAGAUUGGAACCAUUGCUAGCAGUAGCUGAGGUGUGUCGGUGUAAAGCCAAAAUAAAUCUAAACUGAUAUAUUGUAAUGAAAUCAUUAAUUAAUAUUAUGAAUAUUUUAUCACAUUCUUAGCAAAAUUUUGUUUUAUAGAUUAUUUUGUAUAUUCAAUAUUGCAAAUAAUUAAAUCCAUAAGCUAACUUGGUAUAUUCAAUUAUUUAUUUUCUUGAAAAUUUGAAUGUUGGAGAAGGUAAUAACUAUUUUCUAAAGUAAAAUAUAAAAAUAAAUAUAUAACAAAAUGCAAUAUUUAUCUUACAAUCAGCCAAAAUAUAAAAAUUCAUUCUUGUGAUUAACACUCUAAUACUCAUUCUUUUUGUGAGUAUCAUCACAUUGAACAUAGUUUGAUCUUCCAUAUCAUUGUCAUCUUCUACAAAAUUAUUAAAAAAAAUAAUUAAAUAGCAUAUGCAGUUAUAUACAAAACAAUUAUUAGGCUUCAUAGCAAAACCAAAAAUUAUUGAUAGAAAAAUAAAUAUUUUCUUAAUAGCCAAAAGCAAUUAAAACUAUAUAUAUGACGAAACUUUUCCACGAUAGAAUUCUAACAGCUCAAUGCAUGAAUUUGACCAUGUAUUUUCAGCGAUUAUCCUUGUGGCCCUCGAACUAUACGAGGAAUUCAUGUGACCCUGCACUUUCGAAUUUUAAUAAUCAUUAUAUCCCUUGCUAAAAUAAAAUGCAGUAGCGUAACGUCAUGAUUGAACCCUACAAAGAUAUUUCAUUUUGUUUAAUGACAUAAUUAUUAUUGAAAUGUCAAAAUAAAUGAUCAUGAUUAAAUCCUCGUUAAAUUCAAUGAGUCACGAGGAUAAUUAGCCAAAGUUCAGCUUCAAAUUUAUUUAUUUGGGCGGAUUCUAAUUCCUAAUUACUAAGAAACUUUAGUAAUAAAAUAAUAUGAUCAAUGCAAAUUGUAAAUAGUAUUUGUCUAACCACUUGUUUUAGCUUAUAAUUUACUUUUGACUUCUUAUCCAUAGAAUCUAAUGGGCUUUGUGAUUUGCAACUUGGUACUAAGUUUAGGUUAGAACAAAGUCAUAAAUAGCUGGAUAUUUAAUUAUUAUUAUUAUUAUUAUUAUAAAGGCUAUUUGAAUUGUAGGAUUUAGGGUAAAAUCAUUUUAAUUAUACAAUUAAGAUAAUUUUAGGAAAUUAUUAGGUGUAAAAUUAUGUUUUUAAAAUUUUAACUAAUCAAGAAAAAUAUAUACUACGUGUUAAAUGUGACAUAGUAUUUAAAAGAUUUUUAGUAAUAUAAGUAUUUUAUCAUAAACUAAAUACUACUUCUGUUCCAUAAUACUUGUCACAUUUGAAAAUUCACGUCUUUAAAAAAAUCAUAAAAUUUAUCGAAAUUAUAAUAAAUUAUUGAGUAUUUACUAUAUUACCCGUAAAUUAAUAAUAAUUCUCUAAAAACACCAUUAAAUUGAAAUAAUAAUUAUUGGUCAUAUACAAAGAGUAAAUAUGAAAAAAGAAUUAUUGCUCCUUGAAAUCAUAAAUAUGAAAAAUAUUUUAGAACAAACUAUUUUUUCAGAUAUUACAAGUAUUAUAGAACAAAGAAGGUACUAAAUUUUUUUUUUUAAUAUAAAUAUUAGGAUAAAAACCAAUAUGGGCUUAUUCUCUAAAAAAAACAAAAUAUGGGCUUCCUUUCCGAUGUGCCCAAAGAAAAGGAUUUUGGGCCGAAACAGAUCACGUGAGAUCCAAAAACUGAACAGUAAUAAAAAUAUAGAGAGACCGUCUAAAUACAGAUCACAUGAGCUAAGCUAAUUUAGCUGUAGAGGCCAGUAUUGGGAGUCAUUUCUAAUGAGAUUUUGGAUUUUUUGUGCAGAGCGGCAGAUUGACCUCAGUCGGUCAAUAUUCAUUACUUCAUCUGUAAUCUUUCUUUUUUGGGUUUCUUCCCUCUAUUAUAUAUAAUAUGUUCAUAUUUUUCGAUGGUUGAUAAAUAAUUUGAAUAUAGAGAAAAGAAGUAGUAAUAUAAAAUAUAUGGAUAUAGCCUUAAUUUAAAAGUAAAAAGAGAAAAAAUAAAGGGAAAAGAAGAGUAAUUUUUACUUUGAAAGCUUAGAUUUUCUUGAAAAAAAAAAAAUUAUCUUAAAGAUUUUAAAAAGCGGAAUAACAUAUUAUAUUUUGGUGAGGAGGAGAUGAGAUUUCAGUGGUGUUUUAGGCUUUAGAAUUUUCGACCAUUAGGAUUCUUAGGUGUUAGUACGAUGAGUUGAGGAAGAAGAAGAAGUAAGGAAGAAGGAGAUGAGAGGAGGGUGAUGUGGAAUUUUUAGGAGAUGCUAUUGUGUGGUAAGGUGCACCUUUUGCAUUAAAAUUCUAGUGGUUGAUAGAAUAGGUGUUUGAAGAUUUUAUUUAGACAAGAUGCUUAUCUGACAUUGUAGAAAAAAUGACACAUAAUAUGAGUUUGAUUUGUCUUACACUGACCUGAAAAGUAGUUUGAUUUGUCUUUACGUUUUGUUUGUUGUGUUUGAAUGUAUGGUUUAGGCCAAACCCUAUUUGCAAUUUGUUUUUUCUUUUAAAUUUAAAAGUUAGAAUCACACACACGUGCAUGGCAGAUUAAUUGAGUGACAUAUUAUUAUUACACUGUGUUUCCAAAACACAGUCUCAUAACACGGUAAAUUAUCAAAAUACCCUUAUGUCACUAUAAUUUAUCAAAAUCACUGUAAUUCAUCCAGAAUCAUAAUUAAAUCAUCCUAAUAUAUAAAUAGACUAUAAAAAUGAUUUAAUCCAUGGUAAUGACAUGGUAUCAAAAUGUGGAUGUGACACUUCUUUCUAAAAAAUCUUGUGUUAACCAGGGAUGAUUAUUUUUUAUGGUUGAAUGAAUUUCAAGCACUGUAGCUGGCUUGGCUGGCUGUUGCUAUAAAUAUGGUAGCGUGAGGUACAGGUCCAAGUACACCAAGUUUUCUUCCAUAGCUUUCUCUCAGUACGUAAUUACGUCACUCAAACUGCUCCUUUGUCCAUGGCUUUCAAUAUGGUUGAUGUUAAUGCUCUUAACUCCAGCAGCCUCAAAGCCAUAUCGGAGGCUAGCAGGUUGAAAGGCCAACAAGUUGUUCAAAUUCAAAAGGCUGCCCUCUAUAGUCUUAUAAAGUCUAUCUCUGAUAAUCAAGAAGAAGCUGAGCCCUUUUAUCUUAUUGAUUUAGGGGUUGUUAUAAGACUAAUGGAUAAAUGGAAUCAAUCUCUACCAAAUGUAAAACCUUUUUAUGCUGUUAAAUGCAAUACUGAGCCUGCAUUACUUCUAUCACUUGCAACACUUGGUGCAAACUUUGACUGUGCAAGUCAAGCUGAGAUUGAAACCAUCCUUGGCCUCGGUGUUAAUCCUGACAGGAUUGUGUAUGCCAAUCCAUGCAAGUCUGCGUCCCAUAUAAAAUAUGCAGCUAGGGUUGGAGUCAACCUGACAACCUUUGAUUCCAAGCAAGAAAUUGAUAAGAUAAAAAAAUGGCAUCCAAAAUGUGAACUACUGCUUAGACUUAAAGUUCCAAGCGAAAAUUCAUCCUGGCGUUCAUUUGGUAACAAAUACGGUGCAUUAACUGAGGAGGUGGCUUCUCUACUCCAACAUGCAAACCAGGCUGGUCUUAAAGUUGUUGGAGUGUCAUUCCAUGUGGGUUCUAUAGCAUCAGACCCACAAGUGUAUCACAGCGCAAUUGCUACAGCAAGAUUUGCAUUUGAUACUGCCAUUAAGCUCGAAAUGCCUGCAAUGCAUAUUCUUAACAUUGGUGGCGGGUUUAGGGCGAACCCAUUAUUUGAUGAGAUUGGUAAAACUGUAAACGACUCAGUUCAAGAAUUUUUUCCAGAUGAACUGACAUCGCUGACAAUGAUAGCAGAGCCAGGCAGAUAUUUUGUAGAAACUGCAUUCAUUCUGGUGACUAAUGUUAUUGGGAAGCGAGUGAGAGGUGAGCAAAUUGAUUAUUGGAUUGACGAUGGGGUUCACGGAUCAUUUAACCUUGGAGCGUAUGACCGUGCUUCUUUGUCGUAUAAGGUUUUCCCGCAAAAUGAAGAUGACUUAGCAGGUCUAAUUACUUCCUCGACAAUUUUUGGACUGACCUGUGAUUCAUUAGACGUUGUGGUAAGUGGGUGCAAGCUACCAGAGCUACAAGUCAAUGAUUUGAUCGUGUUCUAUAACAUGGGUGCCUACACAACAGCUCCUGCAAGCAAGUUUAAUGGGUUUAACAGGUUUGAUUUGCCCACCUAUCUUGUAUUUACAAGUGCAGAUUGAAGCGUGGACAUAUCAGAUAAUUAACCUUUGUAUUUUAUCUUCCCUUUCUUCUCUUGUCUUUCCUAUCUUCCAAUCACUCCAGCAAGACAACAAUUUUACACUCAAUAAUAUUAUUAUUUUCUUACUAGAAUUGGACAUUAGCUAUUACAGAAACUAGAAUAUCAAUUUGAAAGUUAUCAUAGUACAUUAAAGUAAACUUUAACCUGCAUUAUAGUUAAUGGAUGUAAUUGUAAUGCCAACAUGCUAUUUAUUAAUGAAUCUAUUUUAUAUUGUAAUGCAUUAGAUGUCACAUUGUGGAAAAUAUGUUACAAUUUCCUGAAUUUCUUUUUCCAUAGUUUUUACGCUCUGUAAUCAUGAAUAUCCUGAACUUCACUUAAUAAUCCACAUCCUAAAUUGUUGUCAAGGCAUCAUAAAUGUUGUCUUUUUUUACUCUAAUCAUCUUGUAUCUGGAAUUCAUUUAUUCGACUAAUCAGAAUUCAUGCUAGAUAGACCCAAAAAGGGACUCCAACUCGAGACCCGGAAAGAGAUAUCUGUCAUUAUAUCUCGCCCGUUCUCUGGAAUUAAAAAGGUUAUCUUCUUGGUAAUAUGCACCACCGGGACAAAAUAAACUUGUGCACCAUCGACGCGAUUCAUCAUAUAUAACUGCAAUUAGUUCAUUUUGUUUUAUAUCAUAGUAAACAUGUGCACCAACGACGUAAUUAAUCAUAUAUAACUGCAAUUUAGUUCAUUUUGUUUUAUAUCAUAGCAAAAUAUGUGCACCAAGUGCACCACCGCCGCAAUUCAUCAGAUAUAGUUGCAAUCAGUUCAUUUUGUUUUGUAUACUGGUCUUUUUCAACAUGGGUUUCACGCAUUUGUAGUUGUUGAUUAUACUCAGUAAUUUGUUUACUCUUUUUUAUUAUAUAAUAAUUUUUUUAAUUUAAUUUUAAUUAUUAUAAUUUAUUAUUACUUUUUCAAAUUUUUUGAUAGUAAAUUCAUUUGAAUUAAUAAUUGAUUGACUUUAUAAUUUUACGUUUGCGUAUACAUGUUUUUCAUUAUAUGAUACUCGUUGUUUUCACUUGUAUUUUAAUUUUAGUAUAUUUAUAAACCUCUUGUUAAUUUAUUAUUUUCCUAAAUUAGUUUUGAAUUGUAUGGAUUGGAUUUGGUCGAAUAGUCGAUCAAAUGUGAAAUUAACAAUCAAAUUCAUAGUUCUUAUAAUAUUUUCCUUAAUUUAGUAUAUAAUCUAUAAGAUUUGGCGAGAAAUUCGGAUUGGAGUCAUUGGUAGCAGCAGUUGAGGUGUGUCCGUGUGAAGCCAAAAUAAAUCUAAACUGAUAUCUUGUAAUGAAAUCAUUAAUUAAUAUUAUGAAUAUUUUAUCAUAUUCUUAGCAAAAUUUUAUUUUAUAGAGUAUUUUGAAUAUUCCAUAUUACAAAUAAUUAAAUCCAUCAACUAACCUGGUAUAUUCAAUUGUUCAUUUUGUUGAAAAUUUGAAUGUUAGAGAAGGUAAUAACUAUUUUGUAAAAUAAAAUAUAAAAAUAAAUAGAUGACAAAAUAUAAUAUUUAUCUUAAAAUCAGCUAAUAUUAUUUUCCUUAAAAAUUCAUUUUUGUGAUUAACACUUUAAUACUUCAUUCUUUUUGCGAAUAUCAUCACAUUGAACAUUAGCUCGGUCUUCCAUAUCAAUCUUCUACAAAAUUAUUAAAAAAAUAAUUAAAUAGUAUAUGCAGUAAUAUACAAAACAAGUAUUAGGCUUGAUGGCAAAACCAAAAAUUAUUGAUAGAAAAAUAAAUAUUUUCUUGAUAGGCAAAAGCAAUUAAAACUAUAUAUAUAUAUAUAUAUAUAAAAGACAAAACUUUUCCACGAUAGAAUUCUAAUAGCUCAAUGCAUGAAUUUGACCAUGUACUUUCAACGAUUAUUCUUAUGGCCCCCUGAACUAUGCGGGGAAUUCAUCUGACCCUGCACUUUCAAAUUUUAAUAAUCAUUAUGUUCCUCUCGAAAAUAAAAUGCGGAAGCGUAAAGUCAUGAUUGAAUCCUAUAAAGAUAUUUCAUUUUGUUGAAUGACAUAAUUAUUGUUGAAAUAUCAAAAUAAAUGGUCAUGAUUAAAUCCUCACUAAAUUCCAUGAGUACUAAGGAUAAGUAGCCAAAGUUUAGGUCAAAUUUAUGUAUUUGGCCGGAUUAUAAUUCCUAAUUAGAAUUGAAUAAAACUUCACCAUUAGUAUUCCUAAUAUAUAAAUAAUUUAAUAUAUUUAUAAUAUAAAAAUAAUAUAAUUGGCAACAUAUAAAAUAAUAUGUUAUCAACUUACCAUUAAUAAAAUUUAUUGUAAAUAAAUAUUUAUCGACUUAAUCUUAAUAGACUAUAUUUAUUGAAAUAAAUAUUAUUUAUUCAUUUAUACUAACCAAACAUACUAAGAAACUUUAGUAAUAAAAUAAUAUGAUCGAUGCAAAUUGUAAAUAGUAUUUGUCUAACCACUUGAUCUCAUUUGAUAUAAUUAAUAUAUUUCUAUUAUAUUUUUAUUAUAGUAUUAUUAUAUUUAAAAAAUAAAUAACAUAUAAAAUGAUAAAUUAUUUAAAAUAAAUAAAUUUAAUCCAUUUUGUAAUAAAAUAAUUGCAUAUAAAGUUUUACAUUUAAAUAUAUAACUAGAGAAUUUAUAUUUAAAUAUGAAAAUUAAUGACCAAUCAAAAUUAAAAUAUUCUUAUUUUUUUAACCAAUAUAAUCAAUUCAUAAAUUUAGCAUGGACUAUAUACUAACUAAUGAAUUUAUAUUUAAAUAAUUCAGACUUAUAUUUAUAUUAAUUUUAUUUUAUUAAUUGUUGGUAUUAAAACUCUUGUUUGUCAAAAUGCUUGAAGAUUAGAGUUAGGUAUUACCUAAAGAAUAUUAAUUAUGAAAAUAAAUAAAUUGCCAAAAAAAAGUAAAAGCAACAAAAAUAUUAUUACUAUUGAUCUAAACAUUGCGACACCUCUUUUAAUUUGGCUUUCUCUUUGUUUCACUUGUGCUGGAGACUGUGAAGGACACAUGUUAAAAACACUAAUAUUAUUGUAAUUUCAAUAUAAAUUAGAGUCAAAACAACUCGGAAAAAUUAUUUUAAUUGCUUUCUCUUUUAUCCUAGCUCAUAUCAUCAUGUAUUAGCGUAUAAUUAUCAAGUUAAUUCAUCGUAUAAUUAUCAAAUCAAUCUGUUAUUCGGUAUUUAAUCCAUAAUUUAAUUCUUUUCGAACCUCGUAAUAAGUUGAAAUUUACGGUAAAUGGAAAAACUUUGAAUCUGAUAAUAAGUCCAAGUUUGCGACAAAUAGGAAUAUUAAUAAUCAAUUAGAAUUAAAUUACUUUUAAUUUUUUCAACCAAUGGAAUCAAUUUAUAAAUUUUGUAGGGAUUUAUAUACUAUUCCCACAUCUAUAUAUUAAUUUAUGCAUGCACCAAUAGAUCAAGUCCUCAGGCAAUAGAAUAUGAUGCAGUAAAUUAAUUACAUUACUGAUAUAGAAACUGCUGGCUUGAGUUAUCAAUUUUAGGAAUUAUAAGAGCAGUUUGUCUUAAAAUCCCUUCUUUAAGGUGUUGGUUUAUAAGAGCAGAGAAUUCAGAAAGAAAAGGGAAAAUUGAGCAGAGAAUUAUAUGAGAGUGGAGAGAAAAGAUCUUAUCUUCAAUAUAGCAUUAAGAAAAUACUUAUACAAGAACUAUUCUAAAGUUUGUUCGCCAAAUCUCCGUAAAUCAAUGAAGUUUGUCUUCCAAAAAUGGCAGAUAGUGCACCUAAUUUAGCUGUAGAGGCCAUUAUUGGGAGUCAUUUAGAAUGAGAUUAUGGAUUUUUUGAGAUGGGAUAGGCAGGGGCUUGUUUGACCUCAGUUGGUGAAUAUUCAUUAUUCAUCUGUCGUCUUUCUUUUUUGGGUUUUCAUCCCCUUCAUUGUAUAAAAAAAAAAGGGUUUCCUAUCAUUAAUAUAUUCUGUUUACCUUCUAUUCAAAAUAAUAAUAUUAGAUAAUAAUUGCCUUUAGAAUAUAUGAAAAAGAGGAACCUUUUAACUGGAACAAUGGUAAAAGGAGAAACUGAAGCUAGCCAGCCACCAUCAGAUUGCACUAGCCACCAAACCUUUGAACACAAAAUCAUAUAAAAGAUAUGCUUAGAUUUAUAUCAUCUUUAUAUAAUAUUUUAACAUCUCAACUAACACAAUUUUUCAAAAAAAAAAAAAAAAAAAAAAAAACGAGUUUGGAAUAAUCAGGGACUUUUAUAUUUUAUGGUUGAGUGAACGAGGAUUGUAGCUUAUUGCUUCGCUCGCUGUGGCUAUAAGUAUGGUAGCAUGAAGUACAGGUCCAUCAUCCCAAAUCUUCUUCCAUAGCCUUCUCUCAAUACCAAACUGCUCCUCUAUCUAUGGCUUUCAAUAUGGUUGAUGCUAAUGCUCUUAAAUCCUGCAGCCUAAAAGUCAUAUCAGAGGCUAACAGGUUGAAAGGCCAACAAGUUUUUCAGAUUGAAAAGGGUUCCCUCGAUAGUCUUACACAGUCUAUUUCUGAUAAUCAGGAAGAAGCUGAACCCUUUUAUCUUAUUGAUUUAGGGGUUGUUAUAAGACUAAUGGAUAAAUGGAAUCAAUCUCUGCCAAAUGUAAAACCUUUUUAUGCCGUUAAAUGCAAUACUGAGCCUGCAUUACUUCUAUCACUUGCAACACUCGGUGCAAACUUUGACUGUGCAAGUCAAGCUGAGAUUGAAACCAUCCUUGGCCUUGGUGUUAAUCCUGACAGGAUUAUGUAUGCCAAUCCAUGCAAGUCUGUGUCCCAUAUAAAAUAUGCAGCUAGGGUUGGAGUCAACCUGACAACCUUUGAUUCCAAGCAAGAAGUUGAUAAGAUAAAAAAAUGGCAUCCAAAAUGUGAACUACUA